rnacentral:rRNA from 1 species
GACGAACGCUGGCGGCGUGCCUAAUACAUGCAAGUAGAACGCUGAAGGGAGGAGCCUGCUCUUCUUGGAUGAGUUGCGAACGGGUGAGUAACGCGUAGGUAACCUGCCUUGUAGCGGGGGAUAACUAUUGGAAACGAUAGCUAAUACCGCAUAACAAUGGAUGACCCAUGUCAUUUAUUUGAAAGGGGCAAAUGCUCCACUACAAGAUGGACCUGCGUUAUAUUAGCUAGUAGGUGAGGUAACGGCUCACCUAGGCGACGAUACAUAGCCGACCUGAGAGGGUGAUCGGCCACACUGGGACUGAGACACGGCCCAGACUCCUACGGGAGGCAGCAGUAGGGAAUCGUUGGCA